rnacentral:lncRNA from 1 species
CAGAAGAAGAGAUUUUACCUUAAGAUAAAAUGAGCAAAUCAGCAUUUAUUUCAACUGACCUGUGCCGAGUUACCAGAGGCCUAAAUAUAUAUCUAGCAGUCCAGUGUUCAGAAAAAUGUUUCUCUUCAGAAAAGUGAAGAAUAGACUCAGUAAUUUCCACAGCACAUCUGAAGCCUCACCAAACCCAUGUUCUACACAAUAAUUUUUUCCUUUAACCUUUUUUUCUCUUCCUAGAUAAACCAAAAUGUAGUAAAUUACUGUCCAAAGGACCAAGAAAAUCAGCUGGGUAACAGAAAUGGCUAAACAUUAAAGAUUUCCCUGCUGAACAAAGAACAGCACUCGGAGAUGAAAAAUAAUAAACAUCUUUCAGAGAAAGGAAGAGAGGGAAACUUACUGCUGUCAAGAAAACCAAAUGGAAAAACCCUUCCUAGCAUACGUGUCCCAUUGAGAAGCAUGGAGUUUAGCCCAGACAGCUCACAACAACCUCCACAGAGGCCAAGUGUAAAAGAAGAAACUUCCAAAGCAUCUGUUUGUACCAUGAUGGGCAGCAUUUUCACCGCAGCAGCCAGCAGAACUAUCAAGAUCCAAGAUAGGAAAUAAAACCACAUUCUAAGAAGCAGUGGAAUAAGAUGUUCCUUCUCUAGAACAAGGAAACAGUGGAGGAAGCAUGACUUUGUCACACACAACUCCUGUAUAGACCGUUUUGGGUGAGGAGCAAUAUUGACCCUCCCUCUUAUUCCUGGCUGUACCUCUUUAUCUCCUGGUGUCCGGAAAUCAGGACAAAUCCAGAGACAGCCUUUAGCUUAAAAGAAGUUAUCAGGUUUAAUACAGGGUGGAAACAGUUGAAAUAUCUGUGAUACGCAAGCGAUCCAACUGUACCUGUCUGUUCCUGCUAGACUUCAAAUCCUAUUAAUCUACACUUUUGCAAGUAAAGGAUGAGAGAGCAGCACACAUCAAACCAGAAAGUGCUGAAAUAACUGAGUAAGUUAAAAAGCAAGCCAUUCAGAGGACUAGAUACACAUGCAAGAGUUCUGAAGAAGCUCAAGGUUGAAGCCAGUGUUUCCAACAAAAAUAUACACCCUCUCCUAUCAGGAACAAAAGAAUAGCACUCCUUAAAAAUUGCUACAAAUGAUGUAGAUUACAAGCCAGUGAAUUCUAGCAUUUAGCAAACUGGCUGGAAGGCUACUUAAAAAGCAUUAUAACUUUAAUGCCUAAGCAAAGAUUACAUAAUGGAGAGAAAAAAAGCAUUGCUAACAUAAUGAAAAAUAUGUCUUUUUUAACUUGGAAUGCAUCUGCAGAAGAAAUUGUUAUUUAUUUGGCCUUUCAAAAGUGCUUUGAUAAUGUGACUCAUAAAGGCCAUAAAGAAAACAGAAUGAUCAUGACUGAGAGUCAGAGUCAUGAUUAAAAAUUAGCUAAGCAGCCAAGAGCAAAAUAUAGGAAUAAAGAGACAAUUUAAGUAGAAAAAGGUUAGCA